CAAGUCGCGCGAGGACUAGGGUGCUUGCACCUUAUAGCCGAGCGGCGGACGGGUCAGUAACACGUGACUAACCUGCCUUCAGGAGGGGGACAACCUGGGGAAACCCGGGCUAAUACCGCAUAACGUUCAGCUGUCGCAUGGCGGCUGAAUCAAAGGGGGCCUCUGCUUGCACGCUCUCACCUGAAGGGGGGGUCGCGGCCUAUCAGCUUGUUAGUGAGGUAACGGCUCACCAAGGCGAUGACGGGUAACGGGUCUGAGAGGAUGAUCCGUGACAUUGGGACUGAGACACGGCCCAGACUCCUACGGGAGGCAGCAGUGGGGAAUCUUGCGCAAUGGCCGAGAGGCUGACGCAGCGACGCCGCGUGUGGGAGGAAGCCCUUCGGGGUGUAAACCACUGUCAGGGGGGAAGAACCCCGGUCGUGGAAAUACCACGGCCGGCUGACGGUACCCCCAGAGGAAGCGCCGGCUAACUCCGUGCCAGCAGCCGCGNUAAGACGGANGGCGCGAGCGUUGUCCGGAAUUACU
rnacentral:rRNA from 1 species